CCACUGUACUCCAGCCUGGAUUACAUAUAUUUGUAUAUUCCUAAGGCACAUAAUGGACCUAGGUCACCAAAACUAAAAGAUAUUCUAGACCAAAAUUUUGACUGUAGUUUAAUAACCUUGUACAAACCCUCUACGGCUGCACAUUACCAAAGCUAGUAUCACUGUGCCUAGUGGCUUACUGCCUCAUUCAAUUGAAAAGAUCAAACUAAUUCAAUCCUGCUCUCCAAAGAACACUUUUUCUGAAUGGGCUCUCAGACUUUUCCUGAAUGGGCUCUCAGAUUCUGCUUUCCUAAGAAAGUGUGUUGAGGUAGUUCUUUUUCUGAAUGGGCUCUCAGAUUCCGCUCUCCUAAGAAAGAGUGUUGAGGUAGUUGCACCUACCCAGUGAUUAAUGAGGUUAAGCUCCUUUUCGUGUUUAACACCCAAAUUUUAAUAGACUUUAUUCUUUAGACCAGUUCAGGUUCACAGCAAAAUUGGGUGGAAGGUAGAGAGUUUCCUACCCCCAGCCCCUCCACACACACAGACUCCCCCACUGUCUACAUCCCCAUCGGAGUGGUCCAUUUGUUACAGCCGAUAGACAUACGUCAACACAUCAUUAUCACCUGGAGGCCAGUUUACAUGAGGCUUGCUCUUGGUGUUGGACAAAUGCAUAAUGACCUAUAUCCACCAAUUCAGUACCAUGCAGAAGAGUUUCACUGCCCUAAAAAUCCUGUGCCCUGCCCACUCAUUCCUCCCUCCCCUCUCAUCCCUGGCUUUUUACUGUUUCCAGUUUUCCCUUUACUGGAAUGUUGGAGAACUGGACUCCUUCAGGAUGUAGCCUUUCAUGCUUCUUUCAGCAACAUGCACCUAACUUUCCUCCCUGUCUUUGUGGCUUGAUAGCUCAUUUCUUUUUAGUGCCAAAUAAUAUUCUACUGUCUGGAUAUAUCAGUUUACUUAUGCAUUCACCUAUAUGCAUAUAAAAUAGAGGAGAGAAUGCGGUGUUGGAGAUUUACGUUUGGGAGUCUAAACCAUGUAUGGUAAAUAAGUAUAAUGUGUGAAAAUUGUAAAGCAGAAAGCUGUCAGGAUACCUGAAUACACACAAAUACACACUUCAGUUCAUGCUAUGUUAUAAAAUGUGUAAGUACAUACUUAGGGCUGAAAAAGCACCCAGAGAGGAAGGGUGAAGAAGAGGUGUGUCUGAAAUAAUAAAAAGAAAAUUAGGGCUGAGAAAGCACCCAGAGAGGAAGGGUGAAGAAGAGGUGUGUCUGAAAUAAUAAAAAGAAAAUUAGGGCUGAGAAAGCACC
rnacentral:lncRNA from 1 species